AUUUUAUCGGGGACAUCCGAUAAAAUUGAAACGAUACAGAGAAGAUUAGCAUGCCCCUGCGCAAGAAUGACAAGCACAAAUCGAAAAUUAGUCCAAAUUUUU
rnacentral:snRNA from 1 species